rnacentral:ncRNA from 3 species
AGUGAAUUGCCAUCUUAGCCUAUAUACGCCAUAGGCUGAGAAAAACUAAGUAAUACAUAUAUUGCUGUGUGUAGUCUUUGCCUGUCAGCCCAUGAUAGGCUUUUUUUUUG